rnacentral:lncRNA from 1 species
GAAGGCAGGUGGGCUCGCUGCUGCUACACCUGUGUGGGGCCAUAUCAGGCGUGAUUGUAUGUUUCCACGGAUAUGCUUGACCCACAUGAUGUUCCCCAUAGCGGCACCGAAGUGACAUACUGACAGGGAACCUAUUCAACCCGGCUUACAAGUUGACUUUCUAUGGAAUUUUCGAACGGAAAGAGGAGAAGCGUGAACAUGUCAUCUCCUGUCCGACAUAAUGUAGCGAAGACGCAUCUUUCGACAGGAUCCGGUCUAUCUGGCCGAGUAUACCAGGAUCUCUAUAUCUCGCAAUUGAUUCGUCAUCUCGAGGACUUGGACUUAUCAAGUAGCGUCAGAGCACAGAAGGCAUUUCCAUCAAUUUCAAGUGUCCACCUCUCCUGCUGUAGCCCAUCAGAGUCUACAUCAGUAUAUAACAACAUAUUUUAAUGAGGGUUUCCCAUGAGCCGACCCUCGACUCUUGAAUGGUUCAAUCUGAUGAUGUAGAUGUAAGUUUGAACGUAUUCACAAUGUUAGUGUUAUUUCCAACCCCCCCACCCCCCAAAAAAACCAACAGAUCCAAAUUCCAAUACGAGGACAAUAAAUAUUUAAGGCAGUUUCAUGCUUUGUUAGACAGGAAAAUGGGGGACCCCCACACUGCAGGAGUAUGUAUGCAUUGGAGGCACCAGCCCUGCUACUGGACCACCCCAGGACACCCCAAAUAUCAGGCUACCUCACUCUAAAAGACAUGUAAAAACCCUGAUGCAAUGGCUGUAUGCCGACUCCUAAGAGUCCACGAAGAUUGUAUCUUGUAAAGGAAUUUCACUUACAGGGCCAGAUUAACUAAAGGAGACCAUGUUUAUGUCGAUAUAUGGCGUUUAGAUCUGAUGUAAACACAUCGCUAGCUUAGCAUAAUUGCCUGAGGUCCAAAGCUGUUGGAAAGCGGAAAGGAUCCAAGUGACUUUGAAAGGGAUUUCAUUUUUGGGUCUCCUUGGGGAUGACAACGCCCUCAUCCAUGGGGCACGAAGGGUCACUGGAUGGUUUGAUGAUUAUGGAAAUGUGAAUCGUAUGCUAUGGCAGGGGUUCCAAAACCUUUUUGGCCGGCGACCCCAUUUCGAUAUCUAAAAAUUAUUGCGACCCCAACCAUGUGAAGAAAAAAUAUGUAAUCCGUCUAUGGGAGUCAUUUGUAAAACAUUCUCCUAAUUUUCAAAUCAGAUGACCCCACAUGGGGUCGCGGACACUAGUUUGGGAACCUCCGUGCUAUGGUCUUCACAGUCACCAGGUCUCAACCCAAUUGAACACCUAUGGUGCAUUUUGGACCCAUGUGUUAGACAGGGCUGUCCACCACCAUAAAAACACAGAAAGUAGGAAUAUCUUUUGGAAGAAC